UGAGGAAUAUUGCUCAAUGGGGGAAACCCUGAAGCAGCAACGCCGCGUGAGGGAUGAAGGCGCUCUGCGUUGUAAACCUCUGUAGUUGGGGACAAAUGUGGGGUUAUUACCCCAUUGAUGGUACCCAAAAAGUAAGGAUCGGCUAACUACGUGCCAGCAGCCGCGGUAAUACGUAGGAUCCGAGCGUUGUCCGGAUUUACUGGGUGUAAAGGGUGCGCAGGCGGACUGGUAAGUCAGUGGUGAAAUCUCGUCGCUUAACGACGAAACUGCCUUUGAUACUAUCAGUCUUGAGUCCGGUAGAGAUCUGUGGAAUUCCGAGUGUAGCAGUGAAAUGUGUAGAUAUUCGGAAGAACACCAGUGGCGAAGGCAGCAGAUUGGGCCGGUA
rnacentral:rRNA from 1 species